GACGAACGCUGGCGGCGUGCCUAAUACAUGCAAGUCGAACGCAGUGGGGACGGGUGAGUAACACGUGGGUAACCUCCCAUCAGAGGGGAUAACACUUGGAAACAGGUGCUAAACCGAUACUGAUGGAUGGACCCGCGGUGCAUUAGCUAGUUGGUGGGGUAACGGCUCACCAAGGCCACGAUGCAAAGCUGACCUGAAAGGGGCCACGGCCACACUGAGACUGAAACACGGCCCAGAGUCCUACGGGAGGCAGCAGUAGGGAAUCUUCGGCAAUGGACGAAAGUCUGACCGAGCAACGCCGCGUGGGUAAAGAAGGCUUUCGGAUCGUAAAACGCUGUUGUGAGAGCAGCGGUAUCGAACCAGAAAGCCUCGGCUAAAUACGUGCCCGCAGCCGCGGUAAUUC
rnacentral:rRNA from 1 species